GCCUGAGAGGGUGACCGGCCACACUGGGACUGAGAUACGGCCCAGACUCCUACGGGAGGCAGCAGUGGGGAAUAUUGCACAAUGGGCGCAAGCCUGAUGCAGCGACGCCGCGUGAGGGAUGACGGCCUUCGGGUUGUAAACCUCUUUCAAUAGGGACGAAGCGCAAGUGACGGUACCUAUAGAAGAAGGACCGGCCAACUACGUGCCAGCAGCCGCGGUAAUACGUAGGGUCCGAGCGUUGUCCGGAAUUACUGGGCGUAAAGAGCUCGUAGGUGGUUUGUCGCGUUGUUCGUGAAAACUCACAGCUUAACUGUGGGCGUGCGGGCGAUACGGGCAGACUAGAGUACUGCAGGGGAGACUGGAAUUCCUGGUGUAGCGGUGGAAUGCGCAGAUAUCAGGAGGAACACCGGUGGCGAAGGCGGGUCUCUGGGCAGUAACUGACGCUGAGGAGCGAAAGCGUGGGGAGCGAACAGGAUUAGAUACCCUGGUAGUCCACGCCGUAAACGGUGG
rnacentral:rRNA from 1 species